GGCAAGGAAGCGAUCUGUGCCACAUGCUGGCAUUGUUACUGCUGUGGUGGGCUCCUAAUUCUCUAGUGGAAGGCUUCCCCCACCCAGUUUGUGCCUGAUCAUAUUUAGAGACAACUUCAACCUCAGUCCCACACAAAGGGACUAGCAGAGCCUCCUCUUUCAGGCACUAGCAGGCGGGGGAACUGAGAUUUCUUUCCCUCCAGCCCCUACUCGCUCAACCUGCUACCCCCGCACGAUCAUCCCUUACCAGGAGCACAGACUCUUCUGCCAGGGCUAGCAGCCCGCCGUGCUCGCAGCCCCUGGCGAAGAACAAAGCGCGGCCAUUUUGGCUAAGGGCACGCUACCUUCACAGCCAUUGGAAGCAACGUGGGAACAGCAGCCAUCUUGGCUAAGGGCGGCCUCACUGCCAACCCCGCGGCCGAGAAUGCAGGGAAACGGCGGCCAUCUUAACAGACGGCCGCCUGGCUUCACACGCACUUGAGAGAAUCCAAAAAGAUAUGGGGCAUAUUUCAAAUUCACAUCAAUAAGGACUCCAGGCUCUGUUAUAAGGUUUUCAUUCAACUCCAUCCCUUAGAAACUUGGCCGGCUCCAGCUUUUUUGCUGCCCCAAGAAGCGAAGAAAAAAAAAAAAGGAAAACCAGAUUGAAGGACCUGCCGCCGAAGUGCUUCCGAAGAGGAAGCGAGGCACUGAAGGACUCACCGCUGAAUUGCCGCCGCAGACCCCGGACGUGCCACCCCUUUCUAUUGGCCGCCCCAGGCACCUGCUUCCUUCGCUGGUGCCUGGAGCCGGCCCUGGUCCCCAUCACUUGGAGCAUGUACAUCAGGGGCGAGGAGAGACUUGGUCUUUUGGGCCUGCAGUGAUUGGUCAGCUUCCGGUUGGCCCAGUGCAGGGUUGAUACACCUCAUGGCAUGUAUAAUAAUUUCACAUCAGCCUAAUCAAUUUAUAUGAGAAAUUUGCUUGGGGUCUAGUAACGUGGAUUGAUUCUUCCUCUGCAGGAUACAAG